CUCCCUCCAUUUCCCUUCUCUCCCGCUCCCCCACCCCAGUCCUGCCGCCAUCGUACACGCACCGCCCGCCCCGGUGUCCGCCUGCCCAGGAAUGACACCAAGGAAGUUGUAUUUGCACACCAGACUGCCAUAAAGAAGACUCCCAGGAAGUCCCUUGGCAGUGGAGGAGGUGGACAGACUGCAGAGUCAGAUGUUGAAGGAGAGGAGGGGGCGGACGCAGCAAAUGUCAGGGGCAGAUGCGCCGCCGCAGUGCAGGUCGGUGACUCUGCAGGGGACCCUAACCGUUACGGACGCUAUCCGCGUGGCAGGGGUCCUCCACCCAAUUCCCAGUAGAAUUACUGGGACAGUGAGCGUGGGGGAAAGAACCCGGGACCGGAGCAUGCUCGCGAAGGCCAGACCCUCACGGCGCCGGCCCCACCGCAGGCGACGCUUCCCCCCUGAAUAUGUGCGGAGACCGCGUGGAUGCGGACCACAGCCUUCCAACAUCCUGUGCGGGGAGAAGUGAUGGAAGACGCCCAGAAAACCCCAAACCGCGAGAUGGCAAAGAGUCCAAGGCAACGGAUCCACCGGCGGAGAGUCCGUCCACUCCCGACGUCGAGCAGGGCGACGCGAGGUAAGUGUCCGCUUACCGGCUCUGCCAUCAUCCGGUUUCGUCGUCCAGCGGGAGGUGAGGAAGAAGUUCCGGCAAUAAGAAAUGCGCCCAAGAUUGGAGCUUCAGCCCUUAAGUGCCUGCUUGUUGCCCAUUGGCCAGACAACCAGAACUAUCCGCAUUAUUAUUUUUACCUAAAGACGUCGGUUUUUGGUUAGUGACAAAUGCAGUUUUUAAAAAAAAGAAAAGAAAAAAAAGCCUGGUUUGUCUCAAGACACUGUUCAAGGUUUUCAAAUGGUUUCCUAUCUGGUCAA